rnacentral:rRNA from 1 species
AGAGUUUGAUCCUGGCUCAGAAUCAACGCUGGCGGCGUGCCUAACACAUGCAAGUCGAACGCGAAAGGGGCUUCGGCCCUGAGUAGAGUGGCAAACGGGUGAGUAACACGUGGGUGACCUGCCUUCGAGUGGGGGAUAACGUUUCGAAAGGAACGCUAAUACCGCAUAACAUCCUGCCUUUGGACAGGUGGUGAUCAAAGCUGGGGAUUCUUCGGAACCUGGCGCUUGAAGAGGGGCCCGCGCCCGAUUAGCUAGUUGGUGGGGUAAUGGCCUACCAAGGCGACGAUCGGUAGCCGGCCUGAGAGGGCGGACGGCCACACUGGGACUGAGACACGGCCCAGACUCCUACGGGAGGCAGCAGUGGGGAAUUGUUCGCAAUGGACGAAAGUCUGACGACGCAACGCCGCGUGGAGGAUGAAGGUCUUCGGAUUGUAAACUCCUGUUGACCGGGACGAAUUUCUCCGGGGUUAAUACCCCUGGAGGUUGACGGUACCGGUUGAGGAAGCCCCGGCUAACUCU